rnacentral:rRNA from 1 species
AACAGGAUUAGAUAACCUGGUAGUCCACGGCGGUAAACGAUGAGUUGCUAAGUGGUUAGAGGGUUUCCGCCCCUUAGUGCUGAAGUUAACGCAUUAAGCACUCCGCCUGGGGAGUACGGCCGCAAGGCUGAAACUCAAAGGAAUUGACGGGGGCCCGCACAGCGGUGGAGCAUGUGGUUUAAUUUGAAGCAACGCGAAGAACCUUACAGGUCUUGACAUCCUUUGACAACCCUAGAGAUAGGGCUUCUCCUUCGGGAGCAGAGUGACAGGUGGUGCAUGGUUGUCGUCAGCUCGUGUCGUGAGAUGUUGGGUUAAGUCCCGCAACGAGCGCAACCCUUGAUUUUAGUUGCCAUCAUUUAGUUGGGCACUCUAAGGUGACUGCCGGUGACAAACCGGAGGAAGGUGGGGAUGACGUCAAAUCAUCAUGCCCCUUAUGACCUGGGCUACACACGUGCUACAAUGGACGGUACAAAGAGCUGCAAGACCGCGAGGUGGAGCUAAUUUCAUAAAACCGUUCUCAGUUCGGAUUGUAGGCUGCAACUUGCCUACAUGAAGCCGGAAUCGCUUGUAAUCGCGGAUCAGCAUGCCGCGGUGAAUACGUUCCCGGGCCUUGUACACACCGCCCGUCACACCACGAGAGUUUGUAACACCCGAAGUCGGUCGGGUAACCGUUUGGAGCCAGCCGCCUA